rnacentral:rRNA from 1 species
AUUGAACGCUGGCGGCAGGCCUAACACAUGCAAGUCGAACGAGUGGCGGACGGGUGAGUAAUGUAUGGGAAACUGCCUGAUGGAGGGGGAUAACUACUGGAAACGGUAGCAAAUACCGCAUACCAUCGGAUGUGCCCAGAUGGGAUUAGCUAGUAGGUGGGGUAAAGGCUCACCUAGGCGACGACCCCUAGCUGGUCUGAGAGGAUGACCGGCCCCACUGGAACUGGGCCACGGUCCCGACUCCUACGGUAGGCAGCAGUGGGGACUAUUGCACAAUGUGCGCAAGCCUGAUGCAGCCAUGCCGCGUGUAUUAAGAGGUCCUUCGGUUUUUAAAGUACUUUCAGCGGGGAGGCGUUACCCGCAGAAGAAGCACCGGCUAACUCCGUGCCAGCAGCCGCGGUAAUUC